GACGAAGGUGGCGAGCGUUGUUCGGAAUCACUGGGCAUAAAGCGCACGUAGGCGGUGCCGUAAGUCGGAUGUGAAAUCCCUCGGCCUAACCGAGGAACUGCGUCCGAUACUGCGGUGCUUGAGGAUCAGAGGGGUGCAUGGAAUUUCCGGUGGAGCGGUGAAAUGCGUUGAUAUCGGAAGGAACUCCGGCGGCGAAAGCGAUGCACUGGCUGAUUUCUGACGCUGAGGUGCGAAAGCCAGGGGAGCAAACGGGAUUAGAUACCCCGGUAGUCCUGGCCGUAAACGAUGGGUACUAGGUAGGGGGAUUUCAAACGUCUCUCUGCUGGAGUGAAUAUAUUAAGUACCCCGCCUGGGAAGUACAGUCGCAAGGCUGAA
rnacentral:rRNA from 1 species